GAAUACCACAAGAAGCCAAGUGCCUGAAACAGGGAAAAUGCUUUUAGAUGUGUUUCAUAUCAGCAAAAUAAAUAACAAUGCAUUCAGUGAGAGAACCAUCUCUACUCAUUCCUGCCACUCACUGCUUUCUCCCUGAGCACUUGAGGACUGAUCACAACACCACCCAACUCCCAUGGCCUGAAAAGGAAGCAUUUCUGGAGAAUGACAUGCACGUCUGUUUGUAUCACAAAAAAAAUGAGUGUACCUGCAAGUGUCCUCAUUAGCAUCUCAGGCUGAAUAAGCACAUGAG